rnacentral:rRNA from 1 species
GUAGGCAUGAAAAUUAAACUAUAACAGUGACAACGAACAACAGCAACCAAUUAUUAUAUUGGUGCUCAUUUAGAAGAAAAAUAAAAUGCAAUCGGUGCUGGCACGUAUAGCAACAUCUAGUAGUAGCUUCUGGUCGAUGCAGCCAACUAAAAAAGCAAUCCACACGGAGAGCUAUCUCCCACUGCGUGCCUUAUCCACGUCGCCUCUUCUUCCUGCUCCAGCCACACACACCCACGCGACCGUGCUCCAGUCCACAGCGCCGCGUUCCCUUUCUCUUCCCUCCUCUCUACAAUCCUCCAAGCUUUCGUCGGCCAGUUGCGGGGCGGCUGCGUAUGGGCUCCAGGUGGCCAGGGCUGCGCGCGGCGGCAGGCUGGGGCUGUGGCGGAGGCGCGGCAGCGGUGGCCGGCGGCUGCUUGAAGGGGCCGCGUGGAUCUGCCGCCGGGGCUUCGGAUCGGCGUGGUCGUCUGAGCCCCGAGUUUUCGACGCCGAGAGCUUGGCGAUCCAGAGGGUGCUGGUCUCCGUCGGUGGACAUUCGAUGACAAAUGAAAAAAACAGAGGCAACUAAUUCAGCGAGGCCGCCCACCCAGCAAAACGCACCAAAGAACCAAUUCUUUCUUAACCAGAGAAGAAGAAGGUGAGGCCCAAUCUCAGCUGCCGUCUGUCCUUACCUGCCUACGUCCGGCGGGCCGAUGGGGGGCCGGACCUGAGGCGACAUGGCCCUCCCAAGAGAGAAGCAGGCGUCGGCGCUGUGCAGGCCGUCCAUGGCGAUGGAGACGCCCGGGCAGGAAGGGCUCGAUCCGGAUGAACCAGCCCACACCGAGCCCGGCCGCCUCAACAGGAGCUCGUCUCUCUGCCUGCCAGUGGCUCACCGAAGCCGCCAUCGCCGGCGACCGCCUCCCUCACCUUGUGCCCCUUCUCCUUCGCCUUUCUUCCUCUCUUCCCCGAGGAGCGGGGAGCCGGCGAAUCCGUCAGUCAGGAGCUGGGCAGCGCCCUCCAUCAUCGCCGUCGUUUGGGGAGGGACGCGGUCCUGGUCGAUGCGGUGUGGGGCGGGCGACGCGGGGCAGGAGGUGGCGGCGGGAUGAAGGUACAUGCGAUGGGCACCGGCAAACAGAGGCGGGCAGCGGAGGUGCUGCAGGAGCGGCGCUCGAGCGCGAGGUGAGGAGGAGGAGCAGAGGAAGGGGAGGCUGGAGGUGGUCCUCGCUGACGAUGGCGGGACGCAGGCGUGAGCGGGAGGGUGAGAGGAAACGGGACAGCGGCCUGCUGGUGGCUGCCGGCGACGGCGGGUGGCGAGGGGUCGUCGGAGCGGCGUCGUGGACGCCGGCGCCAAGCGGCGGCGAGUGGCCGUCAGUGGAGUCUGGGAAUGGAUAAGGAAUAUAAGGACUGACUGCAGACUGCGGGCUGAAGUCCAACUAAUGCAGGGGCUCUUUUGCAAAAAUGAAACGUUUUUUGAGGAACUCACUUGAUAAAGGACUGCGGGUUGAAUUCAACAAACAAUAGGUUUUUUUUUCAAAAACGGCAAUGACGGACGACCAGAAACCCAAUUUGCUUUAUUAUUAGGUAAAGAUUUAGGAUGAUAUAUGGUGUCGUCGGGUUUUCGUCCCACAGUAGGUAAUCUCGAUGGCGAACGCUCACAGUGGGUUUCCCAGUGAUGCUUGAACUCGCUAUCCCCUUUCCUUCUUCUUUUCUAGACUAUUGUAUUUCCGUUAUGUCGCAGUAAUGGAACGGGCUAUGCCCGGUUCAAAACCCAUUGCUCACACGGUUGAGGAUCGCAAACCUUCGCAAAGAAGCGAUGGUGAGACGUUCAGGAACAUAUCACGGUGAUCAUGGGCCACAGCACCAGCAACAAUACACUCAGACUGUAAUAAUUAAUAAGAUGGUAGCAUCAAAGUCGACCAUAUAGAACCUUGUCCUCCCACGGUGGAUUCUACUCCCUCCGUUCUAAAAUAGAUGACCCAACUUUGUACUAACUUUGUACUAAAGUUAGUACAAAGUUGGGUCAUCUAUUUUGGAACGGAGGGAGUAUCUUUGAACUUAGGUGGCGAAAUCGCACCUUUUGGAAGCUUUGGCUUUGAAAGAGAGCUGCAUAACUGUCUCAAUGUAAGCUUGGGAGACCCUAUCGCCCCUCUAUUAUUGUAAGGGCCUUCGUAUCCACAGAGUUCUGACCGUUGUCUACUCCCUUUUCCACCUUAUUUCUCUGAGGAAAACUACAUUGGCUUAUCGGACGUUGCAGGUGGUGUGCUUUUACUCUUCAAGGUUGAUACUACACCUGAUAUGAGUGGUCUGGCAUAUGUGAAUCAAAUAUAAGCAUACUUACCUAUACCGACGACGAGGACGGCUGCAGCGAGGGGGUCGCGACGAACGAGGGCCCCACCGACGAGGACGGCCGUGGAGGAGGACUGCUGCGGCGUUCGAUGACGGGGGCAGCGAGGGGGGAUGAGGGCAGCCGCGGCGAGGGGAGCCGGACAGAUUCAGAAGAGUGGAGGUAAGUUUGAGUCUCAAGAUGUGGUUUUGAGGGUGGGGGGGGUGAACCGUUGCCACGGUCGGGAAUAAUAGCGGCAGGCCCUCGCAAAUGCCGGCCACAUCAACUAGCAGCGUCGGGCGGCUGAUAACGACCGCCACUACUAUGUCGUUGUACUAAAUAUGGUUUCCUUAGGAAUUUUCGAACCCGCUUCAAAUAUGGGACUAGUCUAGUUUAUUGCCUAUGAUUUAUAUUUUGCGCGGUCACCACGAUUUAUCUGUGAUGGGCAUGCAUAUUGCCCGCCACUGAUAGCUACCAUGGCAGUGGCGGGUGUUACCAAGGGCCCGACACUACUCACUUUCAGCAUGGGCAAAUUUGGGAGAGUUCACUUGUGGCAGGUGGUUAUUUUCGUCCGCCACUACUAUGGUAACUCCAGUGGUUGGUGGAAUUUGUUACCCGCCACUGCUGACUUUCCAAAAUAGAAGUGGCGGGUGCCCGCCACUAAUUUGAGGUCACAUAUAAACAUUUUCCUCAGUAGUGCAUAGACAUAGCCUUACGAUCUUUGCGCUUCUCAUUAUCGGUCCAUGCCUUAUGUCCUUUGCCACCGAACCCAACGAGUGCCUCAUCCAUAUCGGGAUGUGCUAGCACUACCCGCAUCUUCACUUGCUAUAGGGAAUACCUUGUGUCGUAAUCCAGCAUAGGAAGAUCAAACUUCAUUGAUGUCAUGUCGUCGAAAUCUUAGACAGAAACAAGGCUCUGAUAUCACUUGUUAGAAAUACGACAGGCAAAUCAAAUGAUGAAGAAUGAAAUCAACACAUGAGAGACAUGAGAUUUUAACAUGGAAACCUCCUUCUACUUGUAGGGGUAAACCACGGGGGGCAGCCAGCGAAUCUUCACUAUAUCGGGGGAGGUUACAAAUGUCGGGGAUUUGCAACUGAUCAACUUAUCAUGUGCGGAGGUGACAUAUGUCAGUACUAAUCCGUACCGGUCCAAGUCUUCUCGCGAUGGUUCAGAGCUUCGCUCCGCUCAUGAGAAGUUAGCCUUUAUCUUUAUACUUGAAUUUGGAUCAUAACAUAACAAUACCAACUCAACGCACAUACCCCUUUUGAGCUAAAGGAGGGAAAAAAGUUAUGCCGUUUCAACAUUUCUGGGUGUAGUUUGUAUGGUUUUGCAAUUGGAGGACUAAACACAUACUUCUCGGAUAGUUGAGGGACAGAAUAUAUACUUUUCUCUUAUAUAAACAAGAAUCUAAAAAAAUAAAAAAAAUAAAAAUAUAAACAAGAAUCUAGUCUGAACUUGUAAAUAGCAAAAAGUUCAUAAUAAGAUUGGACACAUAUGUCACACUAUACAAACUCUAUCACACACACCUUCUUUCAGAACAGUCCAAUAUAAGCAACCAAUUACACUAAAAAGGUAAUGUAAAAAAGACAUAGUAGAUGGUAAUUGUCAUUCAUAACCUAUACCAAUAUUUAGGUUUUGACUAAUUUUCUCUUCAAAUUACCCAUUUUAGUACCACGACCACAUAAAUCUUGUCUUGCAGCCCUUCAACAAACAUGAAAUAAGAAAUUCUCCAUCUCUUUUUGAACAUCAUCACACAAAAGACCACCCAGAAGCCAAAGGCAAAACCAACUAUUAAACCAAGGUAAAGGGAUAUGUCCUCCAAUCCAUCGCCAUCAUCUUUGUAUCUUGGCUGACCUGACCUGUUUGCAAGACAAUUGGGAGUCAAGGGGAAACCACAUAGACCAAUGUUUCCAAUGUAAGAAGAUGCGUCGAAAGUUCCGAGCUGAUUUCCUAUAAUGGUAUCUUUCCGGAUAGAGCGUUGUACGAUAGGUUCAUAUAUGUCUUAAAGAGGUCAUGGUUUCCAUGCUUGAAGGGAUUCCACCGGAAAGCUCAUUGUUUGAAAAGUCAAGUGAUUCCAAUUGCUUGAGCUCACUAAUUUUCUCAGGGAUUUCUCCAGUUAACUUGUUCCAUGAAAACUUCAGACCUCUUAAACCAAUGAGACAACCAAUAUCUCCAGGGAUCACUCCGGUUGAUAAAUCAAGAAUCACCAUGUACGAGAUUUGCAGAGAAAAUUCUAGUUGUUUCCCUUUAGUAAGAACUGAUACUUUGUCCAUGGAAUGAACAUCAUCAUAUAUUGAGUUAUAUAUCUGGAGCGCUUGGCCACUCAUGAGCACUUGAUAAAAGAGCAUAA